rnacentral:rRNA from 1 species
AACUAACGCUGGCGGCGUGCCUAACACAUGCAAGUCGUACGAGAAAGCCGGCUUCGGCUGGUGAGUAAAGUGGCGCACGGGUGAGUAACGCGUGGAUAAUCUGCCCUUAAGUGUGGAAUAACGUACCGAAGGGUGCGCUAAUACCGCAUAAUGCCUGGCAACACAAGUUGUCCGGCCAAAGAAGGCCUCUGUUUACAAGCUUUCGCUUCAGGAUGAGUCCGCGUACCAUUAGCUUGUUGGUGGGGUAAUGGCCUACCAAGGCUGCGAUGGUUAGCUGGUCUGAGAGGAUGAUCAGCCACACUGGAACUGAGACACGGUCCAGACUCCUACGGGAGGCAGCAGUGAGGAAUAUUGCGCAAUGGGGGCAACCCUGACGCAGCAACGCCGCGUGAGUGAGGAAGGUUUUCGGACUGUAAAGCUCUGUCGAGCGGGAAGAAGUGUACCAUGGCUAAUAUCCAUGAUAUUUGACGGUACCGCUAGAGG